AAGGAGGACUCAAGGUAAUGUUUCUGUCACAUACCCACACCAGAGCAUGUCAGUCUUUUUGAGGAUUGAACAGAGUCUCCAUAGCAGACAGGACAUUAAAUUCGGUGACCGUGCUAUGAAAAUAUGCAAAGAUAAUGAAAGUUGAGCUAAGACCAGUCUGAAAGCUACAGUUACAGAGAGAGAGAGAGAGAGAAGAAGUAGAAGAAGAAAAGAAGAAGAAGAAGAAGAAGAAGAAGAAGAAGAAGAAGAAGAAGAAGAAGAAGAAGAAGAAGAAGAAGAAGAAAAGUUGGAUGGGUGGAGAGGAUCUAGGAAAUGGAGAAAGUGAAACCACAAUCAGAGUACAUUAUAUGAAUUUUCAGUAAGAAAUUAAGUGCUUUGACUUUAAAUAUAAAAUAACUACAAACAAAACAAACUAUGCUUCCCGGUUCUGCCCCCACCUCCCAGACUGUGCACCAUUUUGCAUCCUUGACUUGUUCUUCGGAAGAAGAAAGUGGUGGUAUAGGGAAAUGUAAAACCACCACAUCUCAAAUUUAGGAGUUAUUUCCCCAUAAUAUUAAACAGAACCCAGUGAGUUUAUAAUAAACACAUCAUAGGCAGGGAAAGCCUGAAUCCUUACAAGUUCCUGUGUCUAUGCACACAUUUUCACAUGAAAUUUGUCAAAUGUAGCUCCAACUUCACCUAGAACAAUUGCAUUGUCUUUAUUCAAUGGCAUUCACUGUCCAGUUACUUUGCUAGCCUUGAGUUAUUAAAGUCAACUUUUAUGCUUUCCAAUCCAUGCUAGGUACCACUCAAAUAUGUAACCCCAUUUGCCUGUUUUGAGUGUCUAAUAGUGCCAGUUUAAGAAUUAGCACUUCCCAUUUUAUCAUAUUUUAGUUCACAUGAUCUUGUAGGGUUUUUCUUCACCAAGCCAAUCCUUUAUGUUAAUAAAAUCACAAUUAGAAGAAAUUCGGAAUU
ensembl:processed_transcript BE692007 expressed sequence BE692007